GGUUUACCAGAACUGUUGAAGGCGUCCAAACAUGGUGGGAUCAUGUUUUUCCAAAUGACCAACAAUAUGCUGAUGCUAUAGCCCACUUUGAAGAUGAACUCUUUUUAGGCUCAAAAGGUGGCGAGAAGAAAUUAAAAGUCCUUGAGGGAAUGCAAGUGGACUCUAGAUAUGGUAGGCUAUACUGGAACAUUGUGGGCCAAAGAAUUCCUGAGCCCAUUCCUUUAGAAGAUGAAGAUGAUGCUGCCAAUGAUCAAGGGGGUUCUUAUGGGGAUGUCCAUACUAUAGAGGACAUUGAAAUCAUGGGACUAAUUGUAAUAUCCCAAAUUUUUAUAAUUAUUUUAUAAAAUUUAUUUUGUUAUAAUAAGAUUUUAUUCUGAAAAAUAGAGUAAAAUCAUAAUAAAUCAGAUUUUUUUUAUGAAACUGUUUUACUUAUUAAAUUAGAUUUUUAUGGUUUUAAAAAAAAAAAAAAAAAUUUCGAAAUCAGAAUUUUUUUUUAAAUCAGAAUUUUUUUUUCGUUCAAAAGAAAGAUAGAGAGAAAAGAAAAUUCUGAAAUUUUUAAAUACUUAUCUUUUAGUGAAACCCUAGAUUUACAUACAUAUAUAUAUCCCCAAACACCCAAAAAAAUUCUCACGCAAUUCACUUUCUUCAUCUCUUUGGUAAGUUCUAAAUUUCAGAUCUAGAAUCACCAUUGUUGUGUUUCGAAGGUUUCAACCAGAAAAAAAAAAUAUUGUUUUAAAACCCGAUACCGAGACUCCGACGACUUGACCGGAAUCCAGCACGGGUCUUCUUCUUCUUUCUCUUUCUUCUUCCUUUCUCUUUCUUCACCUUUCUUUUCGCGUGCUGUGGGAUGUUUUGAUGCCCAGGUUUUGAUUUUUUUUAAACAAAAAAAGAAAAAGAAAGUGGUACAUGUGCAGCAAGUUCACGUGGGUUGUGACUUGCUGUAUGCUGCCACAUGAAAGUUUUUCAAAAAAAAAAAAAAAAAAAAAUUCUUUUCCCUUUCACAAAUCACAAUGUGAGCAUGGCACGUUUUUUUUGGUUUCAAGUAGAAAGUUUUAGAUUUUUUUUUCGUUUCUUUUCAACCUUCUUAUUAUUAAUCUUGUAAUUUUGAUUAAUUAUUUGCGGGAUAUUAUAUCAAGUGACUAACUUUAGGUAAUAUUAUUUGUUGUAGACGGAAACUUCGUAGGAGGCGAAUUUUAGUUGAUAUUGCUAUACUUGGGAUGCGUGCAAGGUUGGUGAAAGGGACUACGUUGCAGGAAUGAGUGAAUUUAUAGUUUUUAAGUUCACCUAGUUUAAUAAAUGUUAUAGUACUGUUAUUUGGGAUUGUAGUUUUGGAUUGGUUUAAAUUAGACAACUUAGCUGGUUUAUUUUGAUACUUUGGUUUUUGAGUUAAAUUUUUUUUAUUUCUAAUAAUUAGCCUUGCAUUUAUUUUGAACAAUAGAUGCGGCGGUAACACCCUAAAGGUUUGGUCAGAUAUUUUAAUGAAAAG